rnacentral:lncRNA from 1 species
GGCAAACCUUAAUGUUUAUAUGCAGGAUAACAUAGGAUUAAAAUACAGAAGUACAAAAAUGGCUUAGAGAUUGUGCUGAAGACUUAAUAACAACAGUCUGUGAAUGGUAACACUAAUCAAAUAGAAGGGAGAAAUUACUCUUAAAAAAAAGAUAUGUAUGGUGAUGAGAAUUACAUUUUCUCAAAUAAGAUAGUUUACAAAUUGAUCAGAUAGUAGUAUUGACAAAUAACAAAGCCAGCAGAGGAGACCCAGAAAGAUAACUUCUGAAUACCA